CUUCAGAAGUGAAAUGCAGUUGGACUGGACAUGACUCAGUGAUCAUUCUCAGACAUUUCAGAGAAGAUGCCUUUAAUUUUUAUCCAUCUGUUUGUCUGGGAGAUCAGGAUCUAUGUUCUUCACUGCUCACACAUUCUUCACACCUCUGACACUCAAACACUCACUAGUUUGCCUGCCUGGGUUCAACCCAUCUGCAUCAGAUAUGAUGCAUGUGUUGGGAUUCAAGGGAAGGGAGGCUCGGCCACAUUUCUCUAUCUCAACAACAGGACAUCACAGUGAGAGAGAGAAGAAACAAUGAUCUUGGCCUAAUUUGAGCCAAAGGUCACUCUUGCCAGGUCCAGUAUGUGACUCUGAUGUAUAGCAGCAAUGAAGCAGUCAAAGUGCUGUCUAAGAAUGUACUUCCAAAUGUAAUCUGGUCUCCUCAUCCCUUUCCCUCUGCUCAAUUGUGUGCUCGAUUAUUUUGCCCCAGACAGUGUAAGUCUGUACAGGCUGUGCCUGAUUGAGAUUUGUAUGUCAUGUAACCAGAGCAGAACU